rnacentral:rRNA from 1 species
UACAGAGGGUGCGAGCGUUGUCCGGAAUCACUGGGCGUAAAGGGCGUGUAGGCGGCCAACUAAGUCCGACGUGAAAUCCCCAGGCUUAACCUGGGAACUGCGUCGGAUACUGGAUGGCUUGAAUCCGGGAGAGGGAUGCAGAAUUCCAGGUGUAGCGGUGAAAUGCGUAAAUAUCUGGAGGAAUACCGGUGGCGAAGGCGGCAUCCUGGACCGGCAUUGACGCUGAAGCGCGAAAGCUAGGGGAGCAAACGGG